CGGACGGGUGAGUAACGCGUGAGAAUCUGCCUUCAGGAUGGGGACAACAGUGAGAAAUUGCUGCUAAAACCCAAUGUGCCGAGAGGUAAAAUAUUUAUAGCCUGAAGAGGAGCUCGCGUCCGAUUAGUUAGUUGGUGAGGUAAGAGCUUACCAAGACAAUGAUCGGUAGCUGGUCUGAGAGGAUGAGCAGCCACACUGGGACUGAGACACGGCCCAGACUCCUACGGGAGGCAGCAGUGGGGAAUUUUCCGCAAUGGGCGAAAGCCUGACGGAGCAAUACCGCGUGAGGGAGGAAGGCUCUUGGGUUGUAAACCUCUUUUAUUAAGGAAGAAGAAAGUGACGGUACUUAAAGAAUAAGCAUCGGCUAACUCCGUGCCAGCAGCCGCGGUAAUACGGAGGAUGCAAGCGUUAUCCGGAAUUAUUGGGCGUAAAGCGUCCGCAGGUGGCUAAUCAAGUCUGCUGUUAAAGACAGAAGCUCAACUUCUGAGCAGCGGUGGAAACUGGAAAGCUAGAGUACGGUAGGGGUUGAGGGAAUUCCCAGUGUAGCGGUGAAAUGCGUAGAGAUUGGGAAGAACACCGGUGGCGAAAGCGCUCUACUGGACUUAGACUGACACUGAGGGACGAAAGCUAGGGGAGCGAAAGGGAUUAGAUACCCCUGUAGUC
rnacentral:rRNA from 1 species